rnacentral:lncRNA from 1 species
AGGUGCCGUCCGUGUUCAGAGAGGCAAGAGAAAAAAAGCAAACAAGCGAGUCUGAGUCUGAGAAGCUGCUUUGCCUGGCGAUGCCCUGUUCUGCCUCACUGGCCUUCCUCGGCUAUGAAUGAUCCAACGUGGGAAGACAGAUCACAUGGUGUUCUCCUGCUGAUUGUUCAUUGGGAAGCCUCACGAACUAACUUGACCUGAAGGGUUCUGUGGAGAAACUUACGAGGGGUCUGUGAGAAGCAUUGUGAGUUUGGAGAAGAAUCUUGCUCCAGAAGAAUGUUUUCACCCUUGGAUGUUUUUCUAGCAAAAUCUGAGAGCAGAAUGAAGAACUUGGACUGAUUAUUGAUGUAACACACACUCGCCACUAAUACAAACCAGAGGCCUACCUCGGAGAUCUUGCGGGUUCUGUUCCAGGUCACUGAAUAAAGUGAAUAUCGCAAUAUAAACAUUCCCUUUUAUGCCCCCCCUCCCCUGGCUCACCCCCUCCAGGUGCCCUACAAGCCUCCCAAGAUGCGACUCUGGACCCUUGGGCACAUACGUCCUGCCCUCGUGGAGCAGCGACCCAGUGCUCACGUGCUCCCACCGCUCUCCUGCCCUGUGAUCGACGCUUCCAGUGGAUUUUUCUUGUGUGCUUUUGGAUGGAUGGCGAUGUUUAGAGAGGGCAGAAACAGACCAGGUGGAUUGCGGGAGGCCCUGGCAGGCGCCUCAAGUUAAUGUUUAUGAAGAGAUGUUUUUCCAAAGAAAAAUAUUACAG